GGGGGGAUACCAAAGUGGCCAACUGGGACGGACUGUAAAUCCGUUGACUUACGUCUUCGAAGGUUCGAAUCCUUCUCCCCCCA
rnacentral:tRNA from 1 species